UAGCAUGGAAUUGCAUUAACUUUCUCUUGUAUCAAACAUUUAUCUUGGUGGUAUUCUCCAGGCUAUUGACAAACAGCUUAUCAACAGAAUGCAAGAGAUGAAAGACACUGUAAGCAGUUUGUCAAAAGAGAUAAAAUUAUGCAGGCCAAAAUCCACCACAACUACCAACAAAUAGGCACUUCUAGCCAACAGACCCACACAUCCCAGGCAUCUAUGAAGAUGUGGUCCAGAGUUGACCAGGAAAACCAAAGAAGAGGAAGUGAUGAAACAACAAAAGCUGAAACUGUGUUGGUUGCACAACAAAAAAACAGAAGUAGCUGUUAAAUCAAUUUGGAAAUGAGAUUACACUGCUGGAUGCUAUUUAAAAGACUGUGAGAUACAACUUGCCACUAUUCUUUCUGGUUGUUAAAACCAAUGUGAACUGUGGAGGGAUGGGCUCUUUCAUUAUUCAAAGUGAAACAACAGCUGCAAUAUGAGGACUGUUAGCAAUCUCUAAUUAUGAAAAUGACACUUGGAAGCCCUGAUAUUUUUUGACAGACUUUUGUCUUGAGAAAAUACAGACAAACACAAUCAAGAAAACAUUCACAGGACAAAAGCCUCUGGAUGGCAAAUCCAAAGCUGAAGAACUGGUUUGAUAAAACAUGGUUGGCAGAAGCAAAGGUGAUGAAUGUGGGCAUAUAGACAAGACAGGUUUAUGGUCUAUAUCAUCACCAAUAAUGGCAUAAUGAGUCUUAGAAUGAAUCUUUAAAAUAUCAUCACCUCAAAGAUCACAAUCCUAACAGUCUAGCUGGAAUGAUAACAGUACUGAACCAGGAGAUCUGGUGUAACAAACACCAAAGGUAGGUGCCAACAUAGCCAACAAUGAUGGCAAUUAUGUGAAAUGUAUGUUAUUGUGUGAAGAAAAAAAGCUGAUUGAAAGAAGUCAUAGCAUUAGUGAAUUAUGAUAAGAUUGCCUCUGAUGUAGCAGCUCCCUCUGAUUCUUGGGUUCUUUGUGACGACUUGAGAUUUAAAGGGACAUCAUUAAUCAGAAUGUAUUUAUUCAGUUAAGAAAUAACAUGACAUCCAUACUGAGUUUUUAUUUCUGUUGCUUGUAGUGAGUUACAGUACUAAAACAGUUGUACACAUUCAAAGAAUAAUGAAGAGUGAACAUGUAAGAGUUAAGGUACAUUUAAAGUGCUCUGAAUAUUUCUUCUCUUAUGCAUUGAAAAUAUACAGACGGUGAACUAACUUACAGUUCAUUUUACUUGCCUUGUCACUUUCUGAUACGUGCAGU